rnacentral:tRNA from 1 species
GAGGGUACAGCUCAGUGGUAGAGUACAUUGCCUAGCAUGCAUGAGGUCCUGGGUUCAAUUCCUAGUACCACCA